rnacentral:lncRNA from 1 species
AUGUACACAUUUUAGUUAGUUGCAUGUGUUAAAGGUGUUUGAUGUGUUUGUCUGUGUUUUUAGAGCUUGGACUCGACUCAUUUGGCAUCAUCUGUGUUAGAGUCAGGAAAGCAGCUGCUUCAGGAGAUCACCGAAUACUCCCAGCAAUCCUUCAAAAAAACAUUAUCAGAGGAGCAAGAUGGGGUCAGGAUCAUGUUUUUUAGUUAUCCUAGAACUUUUGGGAUAGUGUGUCACAUAAUCAUAAUACUUUUUUAAUUUCCAGAAGAAAACAGCUCUCACCAAUGAGGAGCCCAGUGAACAGCAAAAGGCUUUAGAGGCCAUAAUCAUGAAAAACAUGCGAGCUGAAGCUUUAGGAAAUAAUGAUGUCACUUCCAGUAUAAAAAUAGGGCCUCAUGGAUGUGACCUGUCGGGACAGGAAGACCCUGUUGUACUUUACAUGGUGAUUGAAAACAGUCCUCUCCAUCAUGCCUUUAAAGAGGGUAAUUAAUACAUAACAUACUUGAGAUAAAAUCUGAUCCACUGAAUGACAUAUAAUAUACUAAUGUACAGUAUGUGUUUGUCUGUGUAUGUUUGAUUAAGUGAUGAAGCUCAAGCAGAAGUCUCGUUUCCUGGAGUUUGUUGUGCACUUGCUUCAGAAAGCUUUGCUAGAAGAUGAGCUGGAUCUGGUUUUGGAGUGGAAGCAAAACAUCUUGAACUGGCUUAGCAGACGCGACGAUGCUCUGUUUGAGCUAAAGAAACACUCAGGUUUGCCAGUGGAGGAAACUAAAGACUUCACAGCCUCUGUGAUAGAGUUUAACGCCAAGGUAAGCUUAUGUUUCUGUUGAUUUACUCAAAUGCCAACUUUGCUUACAUUUAUUGCUUCAUUCUUUUCUUUAGGUUUAUAAAUGUCAUUAAAGUUUAAUUCCACUUUAUAGUAGUGGAUUAACGAAGAUUAUUAAACUUUGGGUGUCAUAAAAUGCAAGUUAAAGGGUUCUGGCAUAUUGAAAGUCAAAUAAAAAUAAAUAGGCACAACAAAAUGAAUAACCGUGGCUCUGAAGGGUACAUUGAGGUCUUAUGAACUGAAAAUAUCUGUCUCUGCAGGAAUUAUUACCUGUUAUUACUUUAAUCUACAGCAAACGGAGUAUGAGUGUGUUUAUGACAGUCUGAAGUAUGAGCUUUUUUUACAUUAUGAAAUAUAUCAAAUGUCGAGAAUCUGAAAUCUUCCCAGAUGUGAUCAUGUAUGCAUUCAUAGGAGCUCAGUGUAUUGUCAGGAUCCAAGGCUUCAACUUAAAAUUUACAAAAAUGCACUGAAGAAAAAAAUCACAUUUCUCAGAUUUCAGUUUUUUUUUGGGUGAACUUUGAAAUUAUGUUGCAGAAACAAAAAGGUGACAAGAGCGGCAGGAAGUUGCUACAGAAAAAACUACUCAACGCAAUGAAGUGCCAAAUUUCUGAAAGGUGAAGAAAAAUCUGCCCGGAUUUGAAAAUACAGAAAUAUUUUAUAUUGUUUUUUAAUGCAUAAUUGU